rnacentral:rRNA from 1 species
GACGAACGCUGGCGGCGUGCUUAACACAUGCAAGUCGAACGGUGAAGCGCCUUCCUUUUUGGUGGGUGUGGAUGAGUGGCGAACGGGUGAGUAACACGUGAGUAACCUGCCCCCUUCUUCUGGAUAACCGCAUGAAAGUGUGGCUAAUACGGGAUAUUCUGGGUCUGUCGCAUGAUGGGUCUGGGAAAGAUAUUGUUUCGGUGGGGGAUGGGCUCGCGGCCUAUCAGCUUGUUGGUGGGGUGAUGGCCUACCAAGGCGGUGACGGGUAGCCGGCCUGAGAGGGUGGACGGUCACACUGGGGAUGAGACACGGCCCAGCCUCCUACGGGAGGCAGCAGUGGGGAAUAUUGCACAAUGGGCGCAAGCCUGAUGCAGCGACGCCGCGUGAGGGAUGGAGGCCUUCGGGUUGUGAACCUCUUUCGCCAGUGAAGCAGGCCUGCCUCGUUUGUGGGUGGGUUGACGGUAGCUGGAUAAGAAGCGCCGGCUAACUACGUG